UCAUACCCAGAGAAUGGCGGUGGAUGGGUCGGUAUCGACCUGGAAAGAUGUGGGCAGUGGAGUCUGACAAGGCUCGGUCCUUGGACCUGUGCUGUUUAAUGUCUUCGUGAGUCACUUGGAUGAGGGCGUGGAAAGCACUCUGUCCAAAUAUGCAGAUGAUACCAAAUUUAUGGGUAACGUUAACAUGCUAAAGCAGAGGUCCUCAAACUGUGGUCUCUGGACCAGCGCUGGUCCACAAGCUCCAUGUAGGUGGUCCUCAGAAAGGUUGCAGAACAAUUGAGAAUCUCUGCAUUUGGCCCUGCAGUUGAUUACUUUUUUUUCCGGUGACGGAGAUUAAGCGGUCCGCUGAGACCCUCGGCAAUUUUCAAGCGGUCCGUGCAAAACAAAGUUUGAGAGCCGGUGCGCUAGAGGGUUGGGACCAAAUCUGUGGGCACCUGGGCAGGUUGGAAAAAUGGGCAGACCAGAAUAGGAUGCAGUUGAACAAAGACAAGUGCAAAGUGCUGCACCUAGGGAGAAGGAAUCACCGGCACGCUUACAGGCUGCGGGAGGGCUUUCUCAGCAUCAGAGCAGCGGAAAGGGAUCUCGGAGUCGGCGUUGAUACCGAGAUGAGCGUGAGUUGUCAACGUGACAAAGCGAUUGGUAAAGCUAACUGCACUUUAUCAUGUGUUCGCAGGUGCAGGACAAACAGGUCCAGGGAGGUGAUGCUUACCCUCUACGCGACAUUGGUCGAGCUGCAGUUGGAGUACUCUGUCCGGUUUUGGACGCCACACUUCAAGAGGGAUGUGGACAACCUUGUGAGGGUUCAGAGGAGGGCAAAAGCUAGUCCUUGCGCUCCUGUCCUUGGAACCAGCUUAUCGGCGAGGAAGCGCAGCGUGACAUUCGGAACCAAAAGGCCCGGAGUAGAAGGGCCCCCGACAUCCGUCGCAUCUGCAACGGGUCCCUGCGUGAGCUACUGAGAAAUGAGCGUUUGGGGCCCGCACCGGUCUCUCGGAAACAUCCGAGCCAGCCCUGGCAGCAGGUGCCUGCGCGUUCCUGCCUCGUACGCGGUCAGGGAACGCUACGCGCCAGCAGUUGCCUCGGCUUCUGACCGGACGCAUCCAAAGCUAGCACCUCCAGCGGCUGCAGCUGUUGCUUCCCAACUACUAGGAGAGCCUUGCAAAAGCAAUGGCCUGCCCCUGGGCCAGGCUGAUACCAGUGGCUCAGACCCAGAGACUUGCUGUUGUACCUCCCGGUGUCUGGAUUAGGUGUCGAGCACUUGGAACUCUGGCAGCUUCAGCACAUAUUAACCUCUCGUCCUCCUGUGGCCAACACCACGGAGCCCGUGACCCUAAUGUUUCUGUCAGCCUCUGUCCCACCCUUCCCCUGAAGGCCUCCCGUGAAAUCCCUUGUCCCAUCACAGUCUGCAGGUUGGCUCCAGCGGUAUUUCCCAGCUGCACGUGGAGAGUUGCAAGGGAGUGUCAGCGAGGAGCUGCAGCGUGAAAGAAGUGGGACUUGGAAAUAUCCAAGGGACCACGGGUAACAGUUUGACGGGCGUCACGUAGACUCGUUUUGCUGAAACUUUGGGAACGGGACCGAACCCAUUUUCCUGUGCGCUUGGACCUGCAGAUGGCUGGGGCCCGUGUCCCUGGGGAAACUCCUAGUCUGGAAGGGAGGAACACUGCUCAUCUCUCUCCCUGCCUGCCUGGGAACGCUCCUUGCCUUGUGUUUGUUAGACUCUGCCAUUUAGACCUAUUUUAACUUGUAACAGGGUCACAAAACCAAAUGCCAGUUGCUGCUCGUAGCUGCCGUUUCCCAUCGUUCCAGAAAGCAGCUACUCGCUCUUGGUCUUGUCUGGUAUUAAAGUCUUGAGAAACAGAAUUUUAUUCCACUUUUUUUGGCCGUUCCUUGGGAUGUAAGUGUAGGCUCACAGCCUAUUCCUUGUAUGCCAGCUUAAGCACGUGUCGUUCUUAAGUUAGGCUUCUGGUAGGUGUGUAGUCUGCAAUACUGAGCGUGGUCUGUCAGGCCCUGACCAUAUUUUCAGUUUACACCGAGGGGAAUCUGCCCAUAGCCUUCCUUCCCCUUUCUCAUCACCAUCUUCGUAACAUCCCUGCCUCUUUACUUGUCGCUCAUUUCAGGAGCUGUUGUGUGCCAGUGCUUCUGUUCCCUGGUGCUUUCCCCGGGUACCCACCCUGUCUCCUGUACGUGGUGGAGGACCGGUUUAAGGAGUUGCACGGAGGGCCCCACAGAAGUCCUGUGUGGUCACGGGUUUACAAUGAAGACUUGCAGCUGUGUGUUACUAUUUCUGGGGUGUGCCAUGUGUGAGGUGCAGCUGUCAGAGGAACGCUUUGGAGAUGUCGCUCACGCAGGGAAGCAAAAUUGUUCUGCUCCCCACUACUGAGCUUUAAAGGGUGAUACCUGUGAGACAUCACAUCCCCUGUCCAAACCUGAGCCAUCUGAGCAGGGGAAGUGGCAUGGGAGCGGGGGCCAAGAUACCUGGUUGACAGCCCAGACUGCAAGUUGAAGGCUGCAAUGGAAGCGCUCAGAGUGUGGCCUGUCAGAUUCCAACAAAAUCUGUCAAGUCUCACAUGUAGCUUAUCACAAGGAAACGAAAAAGAAAAGGACAUGAGCAGGGGCCCAUGUUAGAGUCUUAGUGCAUUGGUCAGCGAUUGGGGGUGAGGGGGUGCAUGUCCCUCCUUCACUGCUUGUGUGUUGACUGUCAUUGUUAAAGGACCAGGGUUGGGGGCGGGGGCAUUCUUGGCUGCUUGGCCAAGUGCCUGGGGGAAGAGCUAGGAGGGAGGGGGAGGUUCAGCAACCCCGGACUGGCCAGGUCUCCCCCUGCCUCCCACAGGGCUGCGCUACCUGCUACUGGCAGUGACUCUGCCUGGAGCAGUUGGCAGGCCCUUGUAAGCAGCCUGCACUGCUUGGGAGAUGUGGGCUGUGACACCUUGGUUUUCUGGACUGUGGUAAGAAAGCAAACAGCCUUGUAGUACAGGCUUCAGUUGUGGGACUGCACCCUGUUGUUGAGACCCCCCCCAGGGGCUUAUUUCUUGUAUGUCCAUGCAGGAUAGUUGGAGGGGUGGGGAAUGGAAGGAAGAGGCAUGGAUGAGACCUGCAUCUUCUGUUCAGCAAAUUUCUGUAAGUAAUGUUAGUACUACUAAUAUUAUCCCUGUUCUGAUUCUUACUAUUACUAUUAUUUGUUUUCCCAUAUACUUUGCCAACAAAGCACCUGGCAGGUCCAGUAAGAAAAGGAAGUUUCCAAACAGGUGACAGAAGGAAACCAAAUGAUUUAAGUAUGCAAGUGGUGGUGGUGGUGUUGGGAAGGUUCAGGAACCAUGGGGGAGGCAAGAUUUUUUGUUAUGUCUUGUGUGGCAACAACAGCACGGUUUGGACGGACAGAAGCAAGGUUUUAGGCAUCCCAGUCCCCUUUUUCAGUCCUGGUUCCUUCCCAGCAUCCUGAGGAAAGGUACUGUCAUACCCCAAAGGUUGCCUGUAUCUUACAGUUGGUCUGGUAAAACAGGGGUCAAAAAACCUAUGGCCUGUGGUUUGGAUCCAGCCUGUGAAGAAACUGGUUCUAGCCUGUAGCAGUUCAACCAAGGAGCAGCACACUCCCAUGGUGACAGCAGCAGGGACAUCCCCAGCGGCCUGUUGCCACUGCGUUCAGUUUGUUCUUUGUGCUGCAGCAGAAGCAGCCUCCCCAGGGUCCCGGCCCCUGCCUCUUUCUUUUGAGUCCCUUCACAGCCUGUGGAGAUUGCCGGGGAGCAAGCUGUCACGUUGGCAACGGUGCACAACGGCAAAAGAACGGCCCUUCCCUGCAAGGAAAGAUUGCACCUAACUCCGAGCGAGCAGAGCAGAGCAGAGCAUGGACACAGAGCGAGAUGCUCAUCAGUAGGGUAGUCUGGCCUUGCCGUUGCUAGGAGUGCCCAAGUAGGGAGGUGUUGGAAUAAUUUCUCAGCUUUUUCCCUAGAUCGCUCUAAGAGGAGAGGGGAGCGCUAAGCACACUUGGGUUCGUGCACGCUCCCCAUCGUUUUCAGAAGCGGACGGCAGGAGAAAGUUUGCGGUCAGCGAUAGCAGCACAAGGCCACGCAACCAGGCUGGGGAACGUGCGGCUCUUUCCUAAACCAGGAGUGGCAGGACUUGCACAGCUUUGCCAGGUGAAUGCUGUGCCUGAGUCCUAUAUAUUGCUUACCUUGGCUCUUGCUGCCCUCUCCCUCCCUGCCUCCACGAGCACAGGUACAGCCUUUCUUAAGCCCCUCUCACUGCUACCUGGCCAACUUUUAAAGCAGUGGUUCUUGCCCUUUUUCACUGUAGGACCCCCCACCAUCCUGGUCCGUGAUUCAGAGAGUCUCUCCCUCCCUCCCUCCUGUUCCUUGACCCUGCCCCCAGGCAGCCUUGCAGCAUUUCUCUCUACCUUGCUGUGACCCUUUCAAAUCUUGCAGAGGAACCUCUCUGCUCCCUUUGGCUGGUGGUGUAGAUAACAGGGAGGAAGGUAGGGAGCCUCUUCCUGUCCUGGAGGGCACAGUGAGCAGAGCUAGGGUAUAAAGAUGGACGUGGGCCCCGUGCAGCGAGCGGAGGCUGCUUCGGCACCGGACCUGAGGACGAGGACCGAGCUGAGCACGGUUGCGUUCUUGUUGCCCGGGCAAAUGGGGAAGGUCGUGCCGGCAGUCGGGUCGAGGACAGGCUCUGGCAUGGCACUGCCGAAAGCAUUUUGGCAAAGUUGAGGCUCAGCAAGGCCUGCCCAUACUGCUGCUUGGUUCCUUAGUAUCGCAAUCCUGUUUUGGUUUCUGAGUUCCCCCAUUUCGUGUUCUUACUAACAGCUCGUUACCGCCGGGCCUCAGCCGAGGAGGCUGUGGCCAGUCUGCGCUCAGAACCUUGCAGGCCGACGCGGGCACAGAAAUGACGCAGCUACGGCUCCCUCGAUGGUUACCCUUGAAAUGCAAAAGGCGGGUCCCACUACAGUGGCCACCCAGGCAGCUAAGAGGCAGGAGACCAAGCUGCAGCCUGAGCUUGCCUGUCAUACCCCAAAGGUCCCCCACGCAGUAGUGCAGCACCACGCACGUUCUCCCCCGCGGGGUGGGAGGUGGUGGGUCUGACUGGCAGCAGGUCCCUCGCUGGUGCAGAUUCCCUCACCUUUGCCUUCCAGCUCGCCCGGUCCUGCAGACACCCGAAGCAAAGGUCUGGGGUGGGAGCCAGGUGCCAACAGCUGGGGGUUGGGUUUAACGCCGUGUGCCGGGUAGUGUGGCGUGGGCCAGGUGCUCUUUCUUGGCUGAGUGGGUCAGGUGCCUCACCUGCAGAGGUGUUGGGGGCUAUGGCAUUAGCGCCAAGCCGGGGUCAGGACGGGUGCUGGAAACAAGUGCUUGUCGCACACGGCCACGGAACAAGACUGUGCGCAGCUCCGCAUGACAAGGCGGCACCUGCGGCGGUGAUGCCUGAUGCGCGCUAGCGCUUCCUCACAGGUAGGACCUGCCUCGGGCCGGCGCAGUCCGGCAGCCGCGGGACCGCGUACCUGCCCGAGGCUGGGGUGCGCCGAGAGCCGCAGCGGCCCCUGCCUGGCGGUGAGGACGGCGCUGGCGGACAGGGAGGGCAGAGUUUGCAGUCCCGGUCCCUCCUCCCGUCCCAGGGGCAGAGCCAGACCCAGCGCGCACUGCCCUGCGGCCGGGCCGGAGUGCGCGGGGCGGGCGGCAGGAGCGGGGGGCGGUUGGGGUCCGAGCGCUCUUCCUGGGGGCCUGGGCGGGAUCCGCCGGGCCGCCCUCGGGUCCCGGCGCGGCAGCGGGAAGCCGAGGUGCGGCUGGUGCCGCCUGGGCGGUGGCGGCCACGGGCCCCGGUUCGUGCGGCGGGGCCCGGCGGCCCGUGCGGAGCUGCCUCCCUGCGCGCCCGGGGCGCUCAUCCCGUGAAAAGCCGAGCACUGGCGGGCGCGGCACGUGACCGGAAGGGGCGGGGCUCGGCGGGCCGCCCUCGGGGCGCUGGAGGCGGGAGCUGUGGGCUGCGCUGCGCCGGGGCCGGGGAAGGCGCCGCGCCCUCUGUGCGGGCUGGGCGUGCCCGGUCCCCCGUGCCGGGGCGGCGCUGCCCCGUGUCCCCGCGCUCCUGCGUUUUGUCCGUUCUCGUUUUCGUGUUGUUAACCCGCCGCUUUCUCUGCGCUGCUCCCAGCCGGCGGGCGCGCUGCUCCGCGGGGUGCUGUCCCGCGGGCGCCUGGGGCCCUGCUUUGCUGGGGCCGGGGGUGUUUUGGGAGCCGUUGGCUGAGACCUGCCCUCGGUCCGAGUCCUGGCCUGGGAGUGCUGUUAAUUGCCCGCGUUAAUUGCCUCGAGUCGGGGCGGGUCUUUCCGCCGCGGUGCCUGGUCUCCGAGGAGAAGGGGGCCGCGGGGCCUGGGUGCGAGGAGCGUCCCCUGUGCCGGCUGGGCCUUCCCCUGGGCUCCGGCCCCUGCGUGCCCUGGGCCUUGGCCCGAGGUGCCCCAGCCGCACCUGGCCUGCACUGCCCUGCCCUGCCGGGGGGCGGGGGCGGAAGGCUUGACCCUGCGGGUGCCGGGAGCCAGCUGCGGCCGGCUGGUCUCGGGGCCCGGCAGAAAUGCGUCUCGCGUGGGGCUGGGGGUGAGCGGUCCCGUUGUGGGGCGGCGUCCUGAGCUCUGCUGUUUUUAAUGCUAGUUUACUAGCUGCAGCCCCCAAAACGCUAGGAAUUACAUUUUUAUUCCAAAAGUAUUUAUUGAAGUCCAGGAUUUUUAGGUACCCUUUGAGUGCGUACUUUAACACAGCGUCAGCAAUUAUUUCCGGUGCAGGGCCACUCACCAAGUGGUGGCACGGGUUGCAGCCCUGCCCCUGGCUCGGUGCCCUGCCCCUUGGGCAGCAAGUCCUAUCCCGUAACCCUGGCCUUUGCCACUAGAAGUCCCUCUCCUUUCCCCCUGGAAACACUCCUUUCAGGAAGGGGUUUUGUCAUCUCAGAAGCAGAAAAAUACCAAGUUAGGUUCUAAAAAGAGAACAUCUACAACAAUGACUAAUUUUAUUAAAAAAAAAAAAAGCGGUCAUUUGAUUUCAAGAGUCACUCUUGUGCUCCCCGGGCACUGGAAACACAUCCAGCCUGAGCUUCUCUGAGCACAGCCAGGCUUCCAGAAACCGGUGCACCAUUGGAUCCAGCAGGUGCAGCCUGUGAGCUGGGGCUGCAGCCGUGCAGCUAGCACCCUGCCUGGGCAGCCUUGAGGGAAGCACCCGCCCCCUGCAACUCGGGGGCUGUGCAAUGCCCAGCAGCUCCUGUUGGCAGGCUCUGCUGAGGGCUGUGGGUGGGGGGAAGCAGUGAGGGGCUUGAUCUCUCUUCUUCCCCCUCCCCCAGCCUGCGUGCAUCUGUGGGCAGGCUCCAGAGCACUGUGGUUGUUUCAUUAAGCAUGGUGACGAGCUGCUGAGAUUAGACCAUCGGAGCGCUCUGGAGAGACGGAAUAAGCCUCUGGAAGGGGGAAAACUUAUAGAGGGGAUGACUGGUUCCUAUGGAGGGGGAUCCUGGCUGUUGUGGAGAGACUUUGGGUUGGAGAUGGAUGCAAAGAAGUGGAGGCGUGCCAUGGUGAUGGAGGAUAGAGCAGGAGGAGUAGUGUGAUGGAAGGUGGACUUACCUCAAGCGGGGGUGGUGUUUUGAGUGGGGGUGUCUGGGUGGGCUGGGAAGUCCCUGCUCUGGGUUGGUGUCCUGAGCUGCAUGCUCCCAGGGCAGGGCUACUCAAGCGGAGGGCCAUGGCACCCAGGAGUGCCUCUGAGAUGAGUGGUGUACGGCUGGGCUGGCUUGGCCCAGAGUUGCUCUGAGUCUGUGCAAAGAUCUCCAGGUUGCGGUGGGACAGAGGAUUGGGUCUCUGCCUGGCUGUACCUGUUGCCACAUGCCUCCUUUCAGUGCUGGGAAUUGCAUUUAUGUCUCAUCUCUCUGGGUGUGUCACUGGUGUCUGUCUUUGUACUUCUGUUCUUAAAAAUCACUGCAGCACUUGUUACUUUGUUCUUCCCAGGACUGAAAGGAGGGUUGUGUUUGCAUGUAAAUUGAUCCCCUCACUUGGGAGGGGUGUAGCUGCAGCCCCCUGCGGUUUGUUAGUGGGGCCAGUCCAAGCUGCUGUUGUACCCCUGGUUGGGAGGGAGGGGAUGCUGUCCCGUUGGUGGUGUGAGACCUGCGCAUAGCGCUGCAAGUGUUAAUUUCUGUUGUUCAUUUUUGGCGGUGUGGACAUGUUUGGCAAGAUGACCAAAGUCUGGUCCUGAGUGGAAAAGAGCUGAGGAAGAGGUGAAGAGCCCUGGAGCUGGUAUGGCGUGGAAGGAGUUGGAGACGGCCUGAAGCCAUGCUCACGUGAUCACCUGGAGCGAGCAGGUGCCUGCAUUGUAUCUGGGAAAGGGAUAGCAAGCAUGAGGACUGAUGGGGCACAAGGACUGAAGGCGCAGCGUGAUGCCAGGUGUGGAGCCAUCUUCUGAAGGCUUGAGGGCUGUGGAGCAGACUCUGUGAAGAUGAAGUGAAGAGUCCCAGCGAUGGUGCAGGAGGAAACGGGCAGCCCUGUUGUGACUUCCUGAUUUGCGUGGUGUGAGGCCUCUUCCCCUGUGGCAUCACCUGGCUGGAGUCUGGGGAGGUUUUGUGUGUAGCUUUGCAGGCGGUGCGUCUCCGCUCCCACUUCUUGCUGUGAGGAUGCCUGGAUAAGCAGCAGCAUGAUUGUGGCUGGGUGGCCUCAAUGUUGUGGGGGAGAGGAACAGAAGCGAGGCUUCUGCGGUGGUGGUAGAAGAUGGAGGAACUGGAUCCCGAAAGGUGGGCUGGGUUAAAGUGGGAGGCUGGGUUGCGUUUUCCCUGGUCGUGUUUGGGUGGGGAAGGAAACGCCUUGUGCGUAAUGGGGUCUGGAGCUCCGUGCUGUCUGGGAAGUGAUGCUGAAGCACGGACUUGUGGCCCUUAGGGAUGCUGCAGAGCAGGGGGUGUAAGCCUGAAUUGGGUUUAAUUUGGUGGUGAGACCUGACUCCUUGUAAAGGCUGGAAAUUGUCCUUGAGUAUAUUAGGGGUUUCAGUGUUUGCCCCUGGCUUCUGGGUGCAGGUGACAGCAUUGGAUGUGCUGGGACAGAGGAGCGGCUGCGUGCGUGUCCGCCUCUGCCUGGCUGUUGCUGCUGCCAGUGGUCUUCCUUCAGUUCUGGGAAUUGCACUCUGUCCUAUGUCUCUGGGUGUGUCACUGGUGUUUCUUUCUACUUUGAUAUCUAAAAUCACAGCAGCACUUCUUCUUUCUUUCUUUGCUCUUCCCAGAGCUGGAAGGAUAGGUGUGUUUGCAACUGAAUUGAUCCCCUCAUUUGGGUGGGCUUUGACUGCACCCUGUGUGCCUCGCGUGCGAGUGGGGGUGUUAUGCUUUCGGUGUCCUAGGCUGCUGGGGGUGGGGGGCGUUGUCUCUGCUGUCAGUACUAUGAGACGUGAAUACUGUUGCGUGUAGUAAUUGCUUGUUGUUUUGGGUGUGAUGUUAAUAUGUCGAGCGUGAGUGGAGAAGAGCUGAGGCGAAGAGACCUAGAGCCAGCGCUAGGUAGAAGCGGGUGGAGGAAGCAGGUGGUUGUGCAGCCAUGCUCGCUUCUGGGUCACCUGGAGGGAGGCCUCUGCCUGUUCGGUGGACCUGUGUGCAUGAGCAGAGCCUGCAGAGGUCCCUGCUUCCCCUGUGUGGAGAGGAUGGCAAGGAGGGAGGAGAGUGCGCCGGAGGAAGAGGAGCGCGAUGCUAGGUCCCAUGAGUGCUGUCUCUUGGGGUGAGGCCCUUCUCACAGAUGGAUGGGUGCACCCUGGGCAGGCACGUCUUGGAGAGCUGGUCCUGACCUGUGCAGAGGGAAAUGACUGCCGGUUGAAGGAGUGAAGCUGAGCAGCGCCCACGGAGGGUGAAGCAGGAGGAACUCGAUGCCGCACGGCGUGUCGGUGCCGGAUGGGCAGUUCUGGCAAUUGCAGGUGCCUGUCUCCCAUAUGGGGAGAGGAUGGCAAGCAAGGAUGCUUGAGGGCUGGAGGAGAAGAGUGAUGCCAGGUGUGGCAAGUGCUGGCGGUCAGGGGAGUCCUCUUGCCAAGGCUUCAGGACUGUGAAGCAGAGACUGGAAGAAGAGGUGAAGAGCCCCAGAGAUGGCGGAGGAGAAAACGCACAGCUGUCUCCUGACUUCCCAAUUUGUGUGGCGUCAGGCCCCUGGCCCUGCGGCAUCACGCGGUUGGAACCUGCGGUUUCUGUUUUUCUCCAGCCCAGUCCUGGGUGUUGGGCAUUGACUAGGUAGGGUAGACGGCUGGAGAUCGAUCUGGAUGUUUCUGACUGGGUCCUGGUCCUUGGAGAGAAGUUUGAGCAGAGAAGGGUGGAAGAUGGAGGCAGAGAGGAUGGUGCAAGCAGGGGGUCUUUUUACCAAGACUUUUGGGGCAGGGAGGAGAAGUGGAGAUUGGGCAGAAGAAGAGAAGACAUCUUGAAGUCAUGAACCAUGGAGCUGCCUGUCAUUGGUGCAUGGAACAUGUGAUGGGUGCUUGUGCUGUAGCUCUGUCGUGAGGAGCAGGGCAGGGGCAGUGACAUGCUGAGGGCUGGAGAAGGAGCACCACAAAGAUGGCUGUGAGGCCUUGGUCAGGCGUGAAGUAUGUGAGCCAGGAGAGUCGUACAGCACACACGCAGGAUGGAGUCAUCUGGCUGAGGCUCGAGGCUCCUAAGUGGGCAUCGGGAAGAAGAGGUGGAGAUAUAGCGCCUGUGACCUGAGGAAGCUGGUGAAAGAAACGGAUGUCGGCGCAUUCGCUUUGCGGUUGCCCGGUGUGAGACUUCUGCCCGUGUGGUGGCCCUGGGCUGGAAGCCUUGCUGCGUGAAGCCUGCGAUAGAUGUUGGAUUGCUGCUCCCUGUGUGGUGAGAAGGAUUGGCUGCAAUGACUGGAGGCCUGGAAAAGGAGCCGUGUGGCCAGGGUCCUGGCCUGCAUGGAGGGAAGUAGGUGAGAGGACUGCAUCGUGGAAGAGCCGUGGGACAGUGUUGGAUGACAGACGCGGACCGGCCGGAUGUUGCCCGCUAUGUUGGAAUGUCCCUUCUGUAUUGGGAUUCUGCGUGGGGGUGUGGGGUGGGUUUGGGAGUGUCCUCAGCUUUAUGAUCCUGGAGCCAGGGGUUUGCAAGUAGUAUGUUUGGGUCAGUUUGUCUGUGCUGUGGGUGGACCUAGGGUGACCAGAGUUGAUAUCCAUUCCUGUGACCCUGUAGUUGGACGAGCACCCAGACACUUGCAGGAACCGCUGGGCAAGCAGGCCCAGAGCUUUCAACUGUUGAGCACGGCAAUGCUGGAGCCAGCUAGCAUGGAAGCAGAAGGGCCGGCCGGGCGCGGGGCCCGGGCUGCCUCUGUGGCUUCUGUGCUAGUGAGGUUGAGAAUUGCAGUGCUGGGGGGUUGGAGGUUUUGGACCUGCUUGUGCAGGGUUCUUGUUGGUGUUGGGGUGCUGGUUCUGCUGGGUCAGAGCAAUGGGUUUUAUUCUGCCUGACUGCCAUGUUUACCGUGUCCUACAGGGCUGGGAGCCUGUCGUAGCAGUGUGUGUUUGGCUGGGGCGGGGUGGUUGUCUGGUUUGGUCCCUGAGCAGUGUGGUGAGCAUGUUUGUUAUUACCCUGAAAUAAAAUAGUUUUCUGAUAGCCUACUGUUAGGCUAACAAUAAUUUAGAUUAUUAAGAAGUAUUAGCUUUGCAGUUGAAUACAAGGCAUGACCUGUGGCCUAGCAAUGCCGCUGACCACAAGGCAGAAUGAUAGCUAAGCCUUUGCUUAUGUUAAGUAAUCAUUUUAACUGUGUUGACUAUUUUCUGAGUAAAAUGCAGCAAGUGAAUCUGUCUGUGUGCUGUAAACCAGAUACAGCAAGGAACAAGGUAAGAGGAAGAAGCCAUUGUUCUAAGUACAGUGAUCGUGUCCUUAAGAAGUAUCUAGUACUGUGCAAGUUUUUGCUAACAUAUCAUCAUGUUACUGUUACUUAUGUUAGAAAAUAUUGUUGGAAAAUCAAUGUGACCUUUGUAUGACCUUUGGUCAAUGCUGGCUGAUGCAACCUUGCAGUAAGAUUGCCAUGAUCUGUCAAUAUAGGCGGGCAGACAAGGUGAUUGGGCCCAACCGUGCGGGGUGAGCAAAGCCAAGCCAUCUUGGUGAUUUCCUCUGAGUUUUGCGCAUGCGUUAUGAAGGAGCUUAUGUAACCAGAGUUUAUAAAUCUAUGUGUUUGAGUUGCAGUCGGGGGGUCUCUCUGCCGUUACGAGGACAGGGGACCUUUGGUCGAAUAAACUGAAAAGACCACGCCCUUGUCUCCUGCUUAUUGGAGUCUCAGGUGGGAAACGAGCCCUGUUCGGGUUAAGAGAGUCUGCAGGUGUUCCCUUACCAGAUUGGGAGUCUGGUCAGACAAUUUCUCUCACAAUUUGGCGAGCCAGCCAGGAGCACCCAGCUCGUCGCGCUGCUGCUGCCGCCUAAACCCAACCUCCGGCCGGCCGUAACAGAGGUGAGUUCACCAUGGGAGUCUUGGGUUGAGGCUGCAGACACGGCGGGACGAUAAGGUGACUCCUUCAAUUUUACUGGCAUGGUGUGGUCUUUUAUAUGUUGUGUAUGUCUUGUCUAACGUGUUAUAGGCCAGUCUGUUCUCCGGUUCCUCAAACCUGGGCACACAGGCAAUUUUAGUUAAUUGCCCGUUCGACUCUUUUGAGGCGAUAAAUCUGUGUGGCGCAUUUUAUGUCUCCAUUCGCGCACCGAGGAACCGUCUCUGUUUCUGACCUUUUAACUGGAUAAGUCCUCCAACCUGUUUGAGGCAUCCUAGAAGCCUGCCUUUCCAGGUUGGUUAGGUCUAGGGCAGCCAAGAAAGCAGGGUUUUUGGGGAGCUUAAUAGUAUAUCAGGUCAUCUGGGAAAGGGAUGUCCGCCAAGAAUGACGAUGGGACAGAAACAGUCAAUUCUGGCUAGUAGUCCUCUUGGAGAAUUGUUAAGCAACUGGAAUAAGUUAUCUGGACAUGGCCAAUUGAGUAAGAAGCGCGCUAUAGCCUUAUGUACUAGUGUCUGGCCUGGCUACACUUAUAAAAACCCUGAACUUCAGUGGCCAGUGUUGGGAUCCCUCGGUGUAGAUAAAUGAAGGUACCUCAGGGGGUUCCUAGAGGAACCCCAUCCCCGACUAAUGGAUUAUUGGUAUCUCUGGUGUGAUUUGAUGGAUUUAAUUCUGCAGAGGAAAAAAAAAACUGAUUACUUCUGGCCGCUCAACAACGUCUGUGGUGUCUUCUCCCCCUUAUUCUCCCGCUAUGCCACCAUUGGUGACUAGGGGACCAGCCAUAAUAAACCCGGCCGCUUAGGCCGUGGCCCUUCCGGCACCUUUUACCCCUCCAUCAGGCUCCUCUCCUCCCGUAACAGGAGUGUCAGGGUCUGUACCUGCCUCCUCGGAGCCUACUUUCAGUCCCAUAGCAGGACAUACUAGGUAGCGUUUGAAUCAGGUCAUACACCUGCUCUUGUACACAUGUAAUGACAUCUGCGCACCCCCAUCACACAUGCAGUCACGCCUGCUCAGAGUCCCUUACAGACAUGCGCCUGCACAGAACCCCAAAACACACUGCGACAUACACAUGUGCCCCAACAGGUGUGCGUGACACACUUGCACACAAAUGUGCAUCCUCGCACAUAUGCAUGUGCAGUCUCACACACGUACCCAGAGCCCAGGUGCUUGUGACACGUGCAUGCUCACACACACAUGGAACUCAGGUGUCUGACACACAUGCAUAUGUGCUCUCGCGGACACAGUCUAGCACACAUGUACAGAACCCAAGUGUCUGUGGCACACAGGCAAGUACCCUGACAUAUUCACAUUCACACACACACAACCCCACAUGGGUAGAUAUGAAUCAACCUGCCCCCAAUGAUGUGUGCAAUUAUUGUAAACAAUUGGGGCAUUGGAGACGAGAUCGCCCAAACUGCCCUAAGGGACUUCCCCCUUAUGGAGGAAGAAAGGGGGGAAGCCAGGGAAACAACCGGGCUGCCAGCACCGAUCCUACAGAUCCCUGGGUCCAGAGUUUGCAACAAGAUAUAGAUGACUCCCAGUGAAAUAAGGGGGCGGCUCUUCCACACGAUGUAUUUAGGGGAAUCUUCCUCUUUUGAGUAUACCUGCGCCCCUUCAUCCCCUUAUGUACCACUUCAAAUAGCAGGAAAAUUUAUAAAUGUCUUAUAGAUAGAGGAGCAGAUCUGUCCUCACUGGGAGAAUCUCCAGAAAGGGCGGGAAUUGCAGUCUCAGGAUCUGAAAAGAUUACGAGAGUAAUUGGAAAAUCUAUGCAAGUGCCCCGUGGCACUGAAACACAAGUGCAGAUAGGACCCUUGACCACCAUUCAUGCUUUCCUAUUAGCUGAAGGAACUGUAGUGCACCUCCUUGGAAGAAAUCUACUCUAUAAACUACAGACCAGAAACCCUUCACCCUACUUACUCAUGAGAAUCAAGGCGUUGCUUCAGGUGUCUUAACUCAGCCAUGGGGAGUUUCUAAUCGUCCCAUAGCAUACUAUUCUGCUCAGUUAAAUCCUGUAGCAAGGGCAGCAAUUCUCUGUCUUAGAGCAGUCGCUGCUGCCGCUGUGCUAGUUCAAAAGGCUCAAGAUUUAGUGUUAGGACACUCUCUUGUGGUUGAAAUAUCUCAUUCAGUGGAAGCUCUCCUACUACAGCAGAACCUCUGCCAGCAGGGACCAACGCCCAGGCCGCUGAGCUAGCGGCACUCUGACGAGCAUGCAAAUUGGCCACAGCCUCCAGGGUCACUAUCUAUACUGACUCUAAAUAUGCUUUUAGUAUCUGUCAUGCGCUAGGACAGUCCUGGUGACAAAGAGGUUUUAUCACGUCCUCUGAUGCUGUAAUCAGCAAUGCCACGGAAGUCCAAGAACUGCUAGAGGCUGUCGUGUUACCAGGUGAUAUAGCGGUAAUGCACGGUCCCAGACAUUCCAGAGAAGAUACUGACAUCGCUAAAGGAAAGCAUCUUGCAGAUGCUGUAGCUAGAGCCGCUGCACUACAAACUAAAGGAAGUCUCCUUGCAUCUCAAGUUGUUCUUCCACCCUUGUCUGUGAUUUAUGACAAAGUCCCAGCGGAUGAAGUAUCUAUAUGGGUCCAAAAGUGGGAAGCUGCGCAAGGAAAGGAUGCAGUGUGACAUGUGCCAGACGGUAGACCAAUUGCUCCUCGCACCUUGCUCCGAAGUCUGGCUCAGGAUGCCCACAGAUGCUGUCAGUCGGGAAAAGGAGAAAUAGCAGAACAGGUCCUCUCCACCUGGUUUGCUCCAGGUAUACAUCUAGAAGCUGCCCGAAUAACUCUGCAAUGUUCAGAGUGCAGAGCCUUCAACAAAUACAGAGGACACACAAAAUUACAAGGGGCCCGACCGUGGGCCUAUUUACCCUUUGAAAAACGACAUGGAUUUGCUCAAAGCUGUAAAUUUCAAGCACUGCCUAGUAGUGGUAGAUCAAGUAACAGGAUGGCCAGAAGCUUUCCCCACUCGAGAAGCGGAUUCAGUAGCAGUAGCCAAACCCGUAUUAAAAGAAAUCAUCCCACAUUUUGGCAUUCCAGGAGGAAUAAACUCUGACCGGGGAACUCACUUUACAGAAACUGUUUUAAAAGAAGUUUACAGAGUUUUUGGAAUAAUAACAUACUUCCACGCACCCUAUCGCCCUCCGUCCUCGGGUCAGGUAGAGAGUAUGAAUCGGAGUAUAAAAUCCCUUUUAGGAAAGAUCUGCUCCUAAACCAAAUUGAAAUGGUCAGAUGCCUUACCAAGGGUGCUGUUUGCUAUAAGAACAAAACCCAAAUGGCCUCUCAACCUUGUCCCCCUACGAGUUGUUGUUUGGUCAUGCUCCUGUUAUAUAAGAGAUGGGAAAAUCUGCAUGUUAGCUUACUGGGCGGAGAUGAAGCUUUAAUUAGUUAUGUUUUAUCCUUACAGGAGUCUCUCUAGUGUUUACACAGGUCAGCUGCUUUGGUUCAGCCGGUACCCCUGGACUGUAACCUUCACUCCUAUCAAUCAGGACGCUGAGUUUGGGUAAAACAACAUUGGCGAAAAACCGCCUCGGCCCAAGUCUGGGCAGGUCCGUACCAAGUUCUUCUUACUAUACACGCUGCUGUGAAAAUCGCCGAGAAAGAGGGCCGGAUUCAUCGCAGUCGCCUCAAACCUGGUAUCGGCAAGUAAUGACCGGUCAGCUGCUGUUCCGCCUCGAUGGCUAGAAAGAAUCGGAGAAUCGUGGACCGUUCAGACUCCUUAAUAGAAAUGAUACGUGUAUUAAGCUUGCUUUGUAUUAUCUUUCUUGUUAUACUUUGUGUUUGUAUUUCACUGUGGAUGCAGGGAAGGUUGUAAGUUAAUAAUGGCAUUUCACCGGGCUAUCCUAACAGGAUUAUUGCUCUUGAUGCAUAAAACACCAUGGCUAUUUAUGGGAAAGCGAUACAGAACAGGAAGACCAGUGGAAAGAUAAUACUUACCUGAUUUCCACUAUAGCUAUAGCACAGGCCCUAAAAUGUGUGUAAUGGUUGGAUAUGUGGUACACAGUCUCCUUCUACUAACUUUCCACCCUAUCCUUUAAUCUCUUGGGAAGGGAUUUUUUCUAAUCCAGAGUGGGUUGAUAUGGAUAGAGCUGGAAUAAGUACCUGGCAGGACAAUCCUUAUUUUAAAGAGAGAGUACUUUCAGACAUCAUGUUAUCUGCCCAGGUGUGUUGGGAAAAUCCUCAUGGAAUAGGAAAAGAGAUUUUUAGGAUGGCAACCAGGUUGUAAACUAACCAUUAAUGCCACACACUUAAUUUGGCCUAACAAUACUGCAGUGGGGACUAAAGAAGCUGAAAAGAAAGGUUACAUCCCCUGGAAUGUGUCUGCUCCCUGCAGUUCCUUGCAGCGUCCUUAUGUAUGGCAAUGUAUGGAAGGUUCCAUCCGAUGCUGCGCCCCUAAUAAAACUUGGGCUUGGAGUCACGGCUGUUUCACGUCUUGCAUAUACAGCUCCUUUGCAAAGCCAAGUUGUUCGUAUGUUAACUAUACCAUUUACAGAGACGGUUCAGUACCUUGCCCCAGAGAUCCUCAUACUACCGCAUCAAUCAACUAGCACGUGCAUUAGAACUUAUUGCCAAUAGCACAGCAGAGGGCAUUGAAUUAGUGCAAGACCAGGCUUCUUGCAACCAUGCUAUGACUUUAGAAAAUCGCUUCGCUUUAGACUAUUUGUUAGCUAGAGAAGGAGGGGUAUGUGCUUUAAUCACAGGAGGACCCUGCUGCACCUAUAUUCCUGACCACUCUGACAACAUAACUGCUGCAGUAAAAACAAUUCGAGACACAGCACGACAGGUAAACUCUUUGCGAAGUUGGUCAGUAAUAGAACGGAUUGCCUCAACUUUAGGAAUGUGGGGAAGGUAUAUCUUAGAAUACAUUUUAUGGGGAUUAGGAAUCUUCUUGGUUAUUAUUGUAAUAAUUGCUGUAAUUACAGCCUGUGUAGUUUGAGUUAAGCAAAAAGUAAUUAAUCUCAAUAUUAUGCAAACCUGGGAAAUGGCUAGCAGGCCAUAGGCCUGUGGGUGUAAGGGGGGAUUGUUAGAAACUAUUGUUGGAAAAUCAGUGUGACCUUUGUAUCACCUUUGGGCAAUGCUAGCUGAUGCAACCUUGCAGUAAGGUUGCCAUGAUCUGUCAAUAUAGGCGGGCAAACAAGGUGAUUGGGCCCAACCAUGCGGGGUGAGCAAAGCCAAGCCAUCUUCGUGAUUUCCUCUGAGUUUUGCACAUGUGUUAUGAAGGAGCUUAUGUAACGAGAGUUUAUAAAGCUACAUGUUGAGUUGCAGUUGGGGUCUCUGUUCCCUUAUGCGGACAGGGGACCUUCGGCCCAAUAAACUGAAAAGACCACACCCUUGUCUGCUGCUUAUUGGAGUCUCAGCUGGGAAACGAGCCCUGUUUGGGUUAAGAGAGUCUGCAGGUGUUCCCUUACCAGCUUGGGAGUCUGGUCAGACAAUUUCUCUCACAAUUAAUUUGUAGCUUUUAGAAAGUGCUAGUUCAGCUUAAUAGAAAUAUGCUGUUAUGAAGAUUCGUAAAGCACCGCCCAAGUACUGCUUUUGGUUAACCCUUGUAGUGCGCAAGUUUAUUACCCUGAAAUAGAAUAGUUUUCUGAUAGCAUACUGUUAGGUUAACAAUAAUUUGGAUUAUUAAGAAGUAUUAGCUUUACAGCUGAAUACAAGGCAUGACCUGUGGCCUAGCAAUGCAGCUGACCACAAGGCAGAAUGAUAGCUAGGCCUUUGCUUAUGUCAAGUAAUCAUUUUAACUACACCAAGCAUUUUCUGAGUUAAAAAGUGAAUCUGUGUCUGUGUGCUAAAAAAAAUCAGCUACAGCAAAAAGUAAGAUAAAACAGAGAAACCAUUGUUUGAGCUUACUGGUUGUGUCCUUGAAAAAUAUCUUCUACUGUAUAAGGUUUUGCUAACAUAAUGUUACUGUUACUUAACUUUUAGCUUUAAAAAGUGCUAGUUCAGCUUAAUAAAAAUAUGCUGUCACAAAGAUUUAUAGAUCACCGUCCCAAGUAUUGCUUUUUGUUAACCAUAUAGUUUUGCUUUGUUGUAAAAAAAUAUAAAAGAUCGCCUCACCCUUGAGGGGGGGCCUUUUUGCCUUUUGCUGGCUUUAUGGUCUUUGCUCGAGCAAAUAAACAGCUGUCUUUCUUUACCCGCGUUGUCUGUCAAUCAAAUUACAGCUAGACAACCGAGCUUAGGGAGAUUUCUCCCACCACACCCUGUAGUCUUGCCUUAUUGUAAAAAGUCUAAAAGAACAGCCCACCCUUGAGUGGGGGGCAUUUUGGCUUUUUGCUGGCUUAUGGUCAUUGCUCGAGCAAAUAAACGGCAGUAAAUCUUUACCUGCGUUGCUUGGUUUCUAUUGCAGCUAGACAACAAACUCCUCCUGGGAGUUUUCUCCCACCACAGCAGGAAGGAGGAUGUUGAAGGUUUCUGAGCCAUAAGCUCGAGCCCUCUCUUUGGAAGGGGUGUUAGAAAAUAUUGUUAGAAAAUUAAUGUGACCUCUGUAUGACCUUGGAUCAAUGCUGGCUGAUGCAACCUUGCACGAAGAUUGCUGCUGAUAUGUCAAUCUUGGCAGACAAGCAAGGUGAUUGGGCUCAACCAUGCGGGGUGAGCAAAGUCAUGCCAUUUUAGCAAUUUUCUGCUGGGUUUUGCACAUGUGUUAUGGGAAAGGCUUAUGUAACGAAAGUUCAUAAGUAUGUGUUGAGUUGGAGUCGGGGUCUCUCUGCCCUUACGAGGACAGGGGACCUUCAGCCAAAUAAACUGAAAAGACCACACCCUCGUCUCCUGCUUAUUGGAGUCUCAGCUGGGAUAGGAGCCCCCUUAGGGUUAAGAAAGUCUGCAGGUGUUCCCUUACGAGAUUGGGAGCCUGGCCAGACAAUUUCUCUGAUGGGGAAAGCAGAGCCGUCUGUUACUCAGCUUUGUUUUGUUGUUGCCCAUAGUGGAGGUAUUGCAAAAAUGUAUCAUCUCACUACACCAAAGGCUUCUCAGCUGAAAACUGUAAACUGGAAAUUGUUUCUUCUUCUCUCUCCCCCAUCACUGCGGGGCCAGGAGGCGGGGGGGGGGGGGGGGGGGGUCGUGUUAGGGGGAGAGAACAGUCUGAACAACGCUUGCUUCACGAUAAGGCUGAGUCCUGUGGGAACACAGAUUAGUUACUGCCUGCUUUGCACAUAAACUUUGCAGAAAACUGUAGCAAAUGACAGAUUGCCACAAUGGAAUCUUGUUUAGGAGAGGUAUAAAAAUGUAUUUUCGGGCAUGGCUAGGGGUUAACAUGACUUUGAGGUUUGAGCUCCGUUGUCGAUCUGUUUGCAAACAAACAUAGUUGAAAUGGAUCCAGCCUAAGUGUGUAUAACUCUCUCUUGAGGUAUAUGGAAAAAGCCUCCAGAAACACGAAACUAGCCGUUUGUGCAACAGAGGCACCCCCCUCCCCCUGUCAGCUCAACCACCUUCUUGUCCCUCCAAGGCCCCUGCCUUGUAGUGCCUCUUGGGCCUGCGUGGUGUUGCUGGUCGUUGUGUUUGGGUGUGAGGGGGGUGCAGCCAAGGUGAUGGUUCCUGUGGAGAAGGGGAGUAGAAGCAGAAGUAGUUACGAAGAGCCUGGGUGCUGGGCUGAUGUCGUGGGAGAAAACUCCCUGGUGUUCGUUGUCUAGCUGGCUUAGAGACCAGACAACACGGGUGAAGGGGUAACUGCAGUUUAUCUACUCGAGUAAAGACCAUAAAACAGCAAAGAGGUAAAAUGGCCUCGACUUAAGGGUGAGGCUGUCUUGUAUACAUUUUCUAAGAAAGAAACUACAAGGUUAUUGAAUAUGCAAUACUUAUGGUAAUCAUCUCCUUACAUGGUGCAUUACAAAUCUCAGUACUUUUGCAGAGGAAAAAAGUUAGUGUUAUCUUACACACUGCAAUCUGUUAUCCUGUACUCCGCUGUAACAUCUUCUUGCCUCUGGGCCCCCCCCCCCGCCUUAUCUUAUCUGACUCCUAGCUGCAGCUGGUACCCAGUACACAGACUUAACCAUUUUGUUAGAAAAAAGCAGAAAUUAAGGCACCUGACAUAAGAAAAUGACUGGCUUAGAAAUCAUUCUGUCUUGUGGUCAGCAAGAUUGCUAGGCCACAGGUCAUGCCUAGUGUUUAGCUACAAAGGUAAUACUAUUUAAUAAUCUAAAUUACCCUGAAAUAAAAUAGUUUUCUGUAGUAUACUGUUAACAAUAAAGAGAAACCCAUCACUUUGAGUGUGAGGUGGAAGAGGUGCCAGGAGGAUGUGUGUGCUCGGUGGGGUGACAGGGGUGCGAAGCUGCCUGCCUGGGGGUGGUGGGAUCGUGCUGUGCUCCGUUGCUUGUUUGCUUUGUUUGGUGAUGUUUGUGUGUGUCUUUGUGUUGUUUGUGUUCUGCCUGUUUGUUGUGAGGUUGGCAAUGUUUUCUUGCUGGUGGUUUGUUUUGUACAUGGCUGUUUGCUCACCUCCUAUAUGUUGAGCUUUUUGUAUGUAACAUGUAGAGGAACUUCUGGGUCAGCCUGGAAAAAUAAAAUAAAGGAGAAAUGGUUCUGGUA